rnacentral:rRNA from 1 species
CCUACGGGUGGCUGCAGUGGGGAAUAUUGGACAAUGGGCGAAAGCCUGAUCCAGCCAUGCCGCGUGUGUGAAGAAGGCCUUCGGGUUGUAAAGCACUUUCAGUGGGGAAGAAAGCCUUGGGGCUAAUACCCUCGAGGAAGGACAUCACCCACAGAAGAAGCACCGGCUAACUCCGUGCCAGCAGCCGCGGUAAUACGGAGGGUGCGAGCGUUAAUCGGAAUUACUGGGCGUAAAGCGCGCGUAGGCGGUCUGAUAAGCCGGUUGUGAAAGCCCCGGGCUCAACCUGGGAACGGCAUCCGGAACUGUCAGGGUAGAGUGCAGGAGAGGAAGGUGGAAUUCCCGGUGUAGCGGUGAAAUGCGUAGAGAUCGGGAGGAAUACCAGUGGCGAAGGCGGCCUUCUGGACUGACACUGACGCUGAGGUGCGAAAGCGUGGGUAGCAAACAGGAUUAGAUACCCCGGUAGC